rnacentral:rRNA from 1 species
GUCUAUGACAACACCACUCUGAACAAACUCUCAUCUGAUCUCGGAGGCUAAGCAGGGUCGAGCCUACGUAGUACUUAGAUGGGGAAAUCACAGAAGAAAGUAAUAAAGCUGGGUGGCACAUGCC